GGCACACACAGGCAGAUGAAUCUGAGUUCAAGGCCAGCCUGUUCUACACAGUGAGUUCUAAGACAACCAGGGCCACACAGAGAAAUCCUGUCUCAGCAACCCUCCCCUCCAUAGAAACAAAACAAAACAACCAGGCUAAAAGAAGUGAUACUCAGAUAAGAAGAUCUCUCUACAUUAUGCUCUGCAUUGAAUUUUGGAGAAAUUUUCACGGUCGACUGUGAUGAACACUGCACUGUCACCAUACUCAGGAAUCUCCAACAUUGAUCAGAGACCAAGAAUCAUAAUUUUCUGGCUCAGAAUUCACUGAAUAGAUAAACCGGAUGAAUGAGCUGGAGGCUACAGCUG